UCAACAUCCGGUGUACUUUUUGCUUGUAUUUUGGAGAAACUCGAUUGAUUCUAGCAAACUUGGUUUACCACUACAUCGUCGCUUAUUAUUAUUUGUUGCUGCUUGGGACAUUAAAGUUAAGUCAGCAACCGUCUACCAGACUGCAAGAUUCAUCUCUUCCAAAGGAUGUCGUACCUUUCCAGAUACACUGUGUUUUGUGUGGAUAAGAAAUGCAGAGUGGUACCACCAAUCACCUAAGCCACCAUUCCCCUAACAGACAAUAGGCUCAAGGGGACAGUUCCUGCAAUUUACAGAAAAGCUCUCAAUUGUAGCCCUAUGAA